GGGGGCGACAUGGUUUCGACGGGGGCAGUUGCGGUGCAAGUGGCAUGUCGGGGUCCGUCGGCCCGUUAUCCGGUGGGAACUAAAGUAAUCGCAGACGAUUACGCAUACGCCGUAGCCGCGUAAAGGCUACCGUCUCCCCGGUCUACUCCUGCGGGGCCGGGAGGGGCGACGAUUAGCGGGAUAGGUUACGGACACCGCCUAGCCGGUCCGGUACCGAAAUAAAAGGUGGGGCUAGCCAAAGACGAAUCCUGCCCUUGGGAGUUGUCGAGGCGAAAUUAAAUCAAGGGAUAAACAUGUAGAAGCUUGUGCCAAAUGCUUUCGGACGGGGGUUCGAUUCCCCCCGCCUCCACCA
rnacentral:tmRNA from 1 species